rnacentral:misc_RNA from 1 species
GAUGAAGAACGUAGCGAAAUGCGAUAAGUAGUGUGAAUUGCAGAAUUCAGUGAAUCAUCGAAUCUUUGAACGCACAUUGCGCCCCUUGGUAUUCCAUGGGGCAUGCCUGUUCGAGCGUCAUUUGUACCUUCAAGCUCUGCUUGGUGUUGGGUGUUUGUCUCGCCUCUGCGUGUAGACUCGCCUCAAAACAAUUGGCAGCCGGCGUAUUGAUUUCGGAGCGCAGUACAUCUCGCGCUUUGCACUCAUAACGACGACGUCCAAAAGUACAUUUUUACACUCUUGACCUCGGAUCAGGUAGGGAUACCCGCUGAACCUAAGCAUAUCAAUAAGCGGAGGA